AGAAUCAACGCUGGCGGCGUGCCUCAGACAUGCAAGUCGAACGCGAAAGUCCCCUUCGGGGGACAAGUAGAGUGGCGCACGGGUGAGUAACACGUAGGUAAUCUACCUUCGGAUGGGGAAUAACAACCGGAAACGGUUGCUAAUACCGCAUAAUGCAGCGGCACCUAAUGGUGACAGUUGUUAAAGCGGGGGAUCGAAAGACCUCGCGUCUGAAGAGGAGCCUGCGGCGGAUUAGCUAGUUGGUAGGUAACGCCUACCAAGGCGACGAUCCGUAGCCGG
rnacentral:rRNA from 1 species